rnacentral:rRNA from 1 species
UUCCGGUUGAUCCCGCCGGACCUGACUGCUAUCGGAUUGGUACUAAGCCAUGCGAGUCGUUGUAGCAAUACAAGGCGGACGGCUCAGUAACACGUAGUCAACCUAACCUAUGGACGUGGAUAACCUCGGGAAACUGAGAAUAAACCGCGAUAGAUCAUUAUGCCUGGAAUGGCUUAUGGUUCAAACAAUUUAUUGCCGUAGGAUGGGACUGCGGCCUAUCAGCUUGUUGGUGAGGUAAUGGCCCACCAAGGCUAUAACAGGUACGGGCUCUGAGAGGAGAAGCCCGGAGAUGGGUACUGAGACACGGACCCAGGCCCUAUGGGGCGCAGCAGGCGAGAAACCUUAGCAAUGUGCGAAAGCACGACUAGGUUAAUCCGAGUGAUUUCUGUUGAAGAAAUCUUUUGUCAGUCGUAAAACCACAGACGAAUAAGGGGUGGGCAAGUCUGGUGUCAGCCGCCGCGGUAAUACCAGCACCUCGAGUGGUCAGGAGGUUUAUUGGGCCUAAAGCAUCCGUAGCCGGCUUUGCAAGUCUCCGGUUAAAUCCAGCUGCUCAACAGAUGGGCUGCCGGAGAUACUACAAAGCUAGGGAGCGGGAGAGGUAGACGGUAUUCGGUGGGUAGGGGUAAAAUCCACUGAUCCAUCGAGGACCACCAGUGGCGAAGGCGGUCUACCAGAACGCGUUCGACGGUGAGGGAUGAAGGCUGGGGGAGCAAACCGGAUUAGAUACCCGGGUAGUCCCAGCUGUAAACGAUGCAAACUCGGUGAUGCAUUGGCUUAUGGCCAAUGCAGUGCCGCAGGGAAGCCGUUAAGUUUGUCGCCUGGGAAGUACGGACGCAAGUCUGAAACUUAAAGGAAUUGGCGGGGGAGCACCACAAGGGGUGAAGCCUGCGGUUCAAUUGGAUUCAACGCCGGA